CUGCAUUCUUCCUGUUCUAAAACUGUGCCAGGGCAUAACCACUCUGUCUUCACCAAAGAGUACACAAAAAUCAACCAGGACUCUGCACCCACCCUGGCUGUGGAUUAUCAGGAGACAUGGGAACCAUCACGAAGAAGAUUCAUAGGCUGAAAAUGUAAACCCUGAAAGGCUGUUUUGUUUGAGUUAAUGAAGAUGUGAUUUUGUAGUCUCCUCUUCCCCAUCUCACCUCUGCCCUGAGAAAAUGGCAGACCCUGAAAUUUAUGGGAAUUCUGACCUAAAGGGCCAGGAAGUGCAGGAGACUGAAGAAGGAUGUUACAAUGGAAGUGUCCACUAAAUACCAAGAUGCCAUAGAUGUGACAUUCUGAGUGGUGGCCCCCUCAUGGUGACUGUUUGCAGAAUGGAGAACAGUUUUCUGAUUCAUGACCCUUUAUCCCAGAAGCAGCUGUUCAACUAUGUCCUGGAUGCUCUUGGAUGAAUUAGAAGCAGGUGGUGGAGUGGGGGGAGGAUCCAGCAGAAGGUGCACUGACUGUGUGGUUCAGCUUGCUGUGACUGAAGACAGGCUUAGCCCCUGAUCUGAGGAGACAAGGGCCACCCCGGUGGUUCAGGCUGAACAAUUUCAUACUAAUUCCUGAAACCCAUACACAUGCUACCUUACAAGGCAAAAGGGACUGUGCUGAUGAGACUGAGAUUUCGAGAUGUGAAGAUUAACCUGGUGAGAAAUGGAAUAGUUCCCACCAUAUCAGUAAACAAGGAUGUCACCGUCAUCAGUGAUUUCAGCCCUCUAACGUAAGCCGGUGAGCCUUAAGGGCACCCAGGAAGGAGCAGACAUCAGACUGCAGCCACCCUCUACCGUGAGCCCCAAGGGAGCUUCGGAUGUGAAAACACAGGUUACUAUCCCAGGAGAGCUGAGAUGCGUAUGAAAGGAAUGAUUUCAGUAUGCCCAGACUCUUGCAUCCUCCCAUACAUAGAAACGUGCUAAAUUCCUUAACCUGGGAUAUCUGGUUUUCCUUAAUUAACAAUAAUUUUUUGAUAUUCAGGCUACCUGCCCUUUGUGGUGAAACUUCUAUACAACCUGGCUCCUCCCCUCGCCUCCUUAUAGCAGUUCUCUCAGGGUUACUUGAGAUGCUGUCUACUGGGCUUGAAGUCCCCCACAUUCUCACCGAAUAAAAUAUAACUCUCAACUUUUAGGUUGUGAAUAUUCUUUAAGUUGACACUGGAUUAUCCAGGUGGGCUCAAUGUACUGGGUUCUUACAAGAGGGAAGCAAGAGGAUCAAAGUCAGAAAAAGGAGAUGUGACCACAGAAGCCAAAGGUGGAGUGAUGCGUUUUGCAAAUGGACGGAGGCAAAAAACCUCUAGAAGCUGGGAAAGACAAGAAAAUGGAUUCUCCUCUAGAGCCUCCAAAAAGAUACACAGCCCUGUUGACGUCUUGAUUUAACCCAGGAGGCGAGACAGAUUUUGGACAUCUGAUCACCAGGACUUAAGAUAGUUAAUCUGUUUUUUCAAAGGCACUAUGUUGGUAGUGAUUACAGAAUCAAUAGGAAAACAAUGCACCUGGUUUAAAGUGUAACAGAAAACUUCCUAUUCAGGAAACCCUAGUAAUUCUCAGAAUUUUUCCUAAAGAGUCUCUACAUUACAAAAGACCCCUCUCUACCAGGUCUGAAGAUGGGAAAGCAAGUUUGACAAUAUCUCCCUCUAGAACCUGUGAGCAAUUUGCAAACAUAGCACAUUACUGUGUGGUAUAUCUGGACAAGAGUCCACAUUAAAUAACAAAGAUUUUUAUAUCAUCUAUUCUAUUUUCCUAAAUAUCCCCUCUCCAUCUAAAUGAAUAAUUGAGUACUUACUCCGUCAC